GACAUAGGUGGCGAACGUUAAUCCGGUUUUAUUUGGGCGUAAAGGGUGCGUAGAUGGUGAGAUAAGUUAGCGGUGGGAAAUCGAGGCUCAACCUCGUGGAAGCCGGUAAUACUAUUUCGCUAGAGGGCAGGAGAGGUUGACGGAAUUCUAUGUGUAGGGGUAAAAUCUGAAGAUAUAUGGAAGAACAUCAAAGGCGAAGGCAGUUAACUAUUCUGUUCCUGACAUUGAGGCACGAAAGCGUAGGGAGCAAAACGG
rnacentral:rRNA from 1 species